rnacentral:rRNA from 1 species
AACGAACGCUGGCGGCAGGCCUAACACAUGCAAGUCGAACGCUGUAGCAAUACAGAGAGGCAGACGGGUGAGUAACGCGUGGGAACAUGCCCUUCGGUUCGGAAUAACUCAGGGAAACUUGAGCUAAUACCGGAUACGCCCUUAGGGGGAAAGAUUUAUUGCCGAAGGAUUGGUCCGCGUCCGAUUAGCUAGUUGGUGAGGUAAUGGCUCACCAAGGCGACGAUCGGUAGCUGGUCUGAGAGGAUGAUCAGCCACACUGGGACUGAGACACGGCCCAGACUCCUACGGGAGGCAGCGGUGGGGAAUAUUGGACAAUGGGCGCAAGCCUGAUCCAGCCAUGCCGCGUGAGUGAUGAAGGCCCUAGGGUUGUAAAGCUCUUUCGCCAGGGACGAUAAUGACGGUACCUGGAUAAGAAGCCCCGGCUAACUUCGUGCCAGCCGCCGCGGUAAUAC